GAAAGCAGAUGUGCAAGGGCAGAGGGAGAGGCAGGGAGGGCGUGGAGGAUGGCAGGGUGGGUGGGAGCACAGUGUUUUCUGAAUACUCAAUUUAUUGGAUGGAGAUUUUAUUCAGACCUUCAAAGCGAUGAAUCUUGCAGAGAAUCUACAAAAACUGUAUCAGAGUGAUGGGGUCUAUACUGCAGGGGGCACGAUUUAGAGGGCAUUCUCACUGGGGUGCGGAUACUUGCAUGUGUAAUUUUAUUAAUAACUAAUAAAAAGGCUAGGACCAAGCCUAUUUAUUUGUUAUUAAUUUAC